ACACGUACCACAGUCGCUCUCGCGCAUCAGUGGUACGUAAGGUGUUGGGCAGUAAUACUGUAAUAUUACUUUUCCCAGUAAAGAAUAGUGUGACGGAUUACUAUUUCCAAAAACAGUAAUUUUAUUACAGUUACUAAUCAUGUUAAGGCUGCCCUGCACCAUCCCUGACGUGAAUGCGCGACUGCGCUGAAGCUCAGCGGCACCGGAACUUAUCAGCUGUUAGCAAAAAAGCUAAAGGAAGACAGGAGAACAGGGAGGAGAGGUAUUUUCGACAGCUGGAGAACCACUUUCUGUUUCAUACAGCAUCCACAGACGAAGGCCGACAGAGAGGAAGAAUACAAAGGAUGGUAGGAUUUUAAAGAGAAGAGAGAUUACCAGAGGGCCCUGAAGCAGCAGGGGACCUGACCCAAGUGUCUGGAGUGAAACUCAGGAAUGUCACAGCACAUGAGUGAGGGUGGAGCAGUUCAAGAACCCUGCGCUGUCAUGGCUGACACUGGAGGAGGAGAUGAGCCUCGGAAGAACGGGAACAAAAAGAAAAGCAGAAGGCUGUACAACCCAAUUCAACAGUGAAGCCACAGAGCUGUUCACGGGAUUUGAGAGCAGCUUUCCGGGAGAAAACGGAUUUUGCUGCCAUCGACAGUCAUGCUGCAGGCUCCUGCCAAGCUGUCUCCCUGACACCUCUCCGCGUGUGCGUCAGCUGUCAGACGACUUGUCUUCGGCGCUCGUGUGGGAUUAGGUGAGGCGUCACGCUCAUCAGCAUCAUGCCGCCGUGUCCACGGAUUUGAAGACUGUGUGUGUGCCUUUGUGUCAGAGCUCCGUCCACGCUGCAGAUCCAAAUGCAACACGUUCUCCCUGCAGCCUGUGGCUCGAUCUCACAUUGUCAACCAGCGGAGGUCACACUCUAAUGUGUGAACAUCGCUCCCUGUGCCCGGCCCUGAAAGGCAGAUGAAGCUUUUUUUGCUUGAACAAGGCCACAAAGACACGUCUCCCAGCUGUUUUUUACGGGGUCCGGCUUACUGUGCUGCCACCAGUGUCUAUAUUAUCUAUCAUUAUGAGUGCUGUGGAUAUUGUAAAUUUGUAAAAGCUGAUGUUAGCGCACAUACAGGUGAACCAUGGAUGGAAUUGCACAAGCCGAGGAUGGAUGCGUUGGGAUGCAGAAGAAAGGAAGACAUCACAGUCACGAACUGAGGUCGUAAAUCAAAGGGGUGUUGUGGUCUGUGUCAUAUUUUGUGCCAAAGAGAAAAGAAAACUGAAGGAAAACACACACCUACUAAGGUAGACCUACCAUAGACGGUAUCUAUAAUGUUGACAUAUGGAUUUUGGAGGCCCGUGUGGACAUGAAUGGCCUGUUUAUGGACUGUAUUCAUGCUGUUGAUGUUGAUUAACAGAACGAUGUAGGGCUGGACAAUUGAACUUCAAAAAUCAAAAUCACGAUUAAUUGAAAAUUUACCUCCAUUACGAUUAUUGAAAGAUUAUUUUGUUUUCUUUUGUUGUUUUUUGCCCUCAUAGUUCACUGACAAGGUUUGUACUGUAAAUAUGCUCAACUAUUAAAGCUGGGUUUAUUUAUUUUGAUUCACAGGUUUCACAAAUCCAUUAUCAAAAUGUUAAUACGGUAAUGUUGACGUGCACGUUACAGAGACAUGGUUCCCCUAUAUUCGGCGAAUCGCCGCUGCUAAAUUAUGACCGCUGCUAUUAAAAUUUCACUAUUAUUUAAUAUCCACGCAGAACAAUUGAUUUUCACCCGCACACUGUGUGAGCACAGUAAAUCACGCUUUACUAGCUUCCUCUCAACUCUUAACCUUCAAGUCUCAAGCAAGUCCCAAGUUACUGUGAUGAAAGUCAUAAUUAAAGUCAUUGCUGGGGUCAAGCAAGUCACAAGUCAAGUCAUAUGAAAUUCUUAGGAAUUCAGUUUGUUUAAACAGUUUAA